AAGAUAGACCUCAACUGGGGAUCUGCUAAGCUGUUUGUGAAAAUGACUCUGUACACAGACUGAAACACCCAGAGAAUCUGCACCCUCAUGAAGCUAAAGUUAGAUAGAAUGAAACUCAAGUUGAGUAUCCUAAGUUCUGCACCAGAAAUGAAUUCUUUCUACAAGAAGAUUUUUCAGAUAUCCACUAUCCAGUUAUGUCAUUACACUGAAGAAAAACAGCUUGCCACAGCACCACACAAUCUCAGAGGAAGGGUAGAGAUAAAGACAUGUUGCUCAGCUGUGCUACACCUCCAGUUCUACUGAUUUCCUCUUCCAACUGUGACAACAAGGCUGGUGAUCCUUAUGGCUUGUCCCACUCUGGAAGCACCUCUAUGGCAAUGAAGCUGAGUAAAGAUGGAAAAUUCCUCAGGUAAGAACACCUCAGCUCCCAGUGUUCUUACCAAAAUUCAGCAGUUUUUCAAGCAUAAGUGCUCCUUGGAUUAGUUUAUACCUUUAGUCAAUUUCCACAUGCUGAAGUGCAUUUUUCUAAGUUCUGUCCAGUUUUACAGAUCCUUUUCAUUGACAGCAUCUGUUAAUCACCUUACACAGCAAUAAGCAAAACUCCUACCACCUGUCCUCUUUUCUGAAGGUGAUAAUACUGCUUUCCUGCUAGGGUUUUAUUAUAAUUCUUCUAGAAUCAAAAAUAUUAUUGAAUUCUGGUCUUUUUCAUCAUCUGGCCUUUAAAGAUUUUUUCAACUUUCUCAGACCCAUUCCUAGGACUCAAAGUUAAUGUGAACUUUGUUCUUGUUUGUCUUUCGGACUUAAAGCAACAGAGGAAUUAAUGAUGAAAUGAGCACCACCACCACCAACCACAAAACCGGGAGGUUUAAGUAGUUGAAACAUUGGUUUAGAACCAGUUAGAUCCAGACUCCUGACCCCUGACUUAGGGUCUCUAAGCAUUAAUAACUUCAUUUGAAAAUAGGUUCA
rnacentral:lncRNA from 1 species